rnacentral:rRNA from 1 species
GACGAACUGUGCAAACGUUAUUCGGAAUUACUGGGCGUAAAGCGUGCGCAGGCGGUUUGCUAAGACAGGUGUGAAAUCCCCGGGCUCAACCUGGGAACUGCCUUUGUGACUGCAUAGCUAGAGUACGGUAGAGGGGGAUGGAAUUCCGCGUGUAGCAGUGAAAUGCGUAGAUAUGCGGAGGAACACCGAUGGCGAAGGCAAUCCCCUGGACCUGUACUGACGCUCAUGCACGAAAGCGUGGGGAGCAAACAGG